GGAAGUGAUUAGGCUUUUAGUUGCUUUAUCUGCACUGGCUGUAUUGAAACAAGAAGAAAAAAAAUGAAGAGGAGAAAACACCAAAAAGAAUGUCAGCCAAGUCGAGACAUGGAGAUUUUCAACAGGUUUAGCAGCUCCAACAAUUGUUGCACGAUUUAGUGUUUAACACCAACAUUGGGUACAAUUAUAGCAAUAAUUGGACAUGGUGGUUUUGUUGUUGUUAGACAGUUGCACGAAAUGUUGUAGUGGCUGCUUCGUUUGGAGGUGAAUAAAAAGUGCAUGAUUUGAUCAUUCAAGGAAAUGAAAUCGAAGAAGACGGUGGAGGGACGGAGUAAGUAUCAAGAUGUUCUUUUUGUAUUUAUUGUAGAUUGCAUUGUAUUUUCAUUUAAAACUACCUGGAUAUAAGAUUGUAUUUUCAUUGUUUUCGAAAACCUAUUCAAAUAUAGCAUUGUACUUCUUUUGGUAGCAUGAUCUAUCAUUACAUUUCCAUUCAUCCGAUUGAUGGAAAAUUACACAGAGUAGCAACAUACUUUAAUUUGGAUACCAAUUUAUGCAAUGUACUUCAUUAUUUGUCUCAGAAAACGAACACAU